GCCUACUUUAUCCCCAGCACAACCUGCUGCUCUCUACCACAGAAGAGCUGCCUUCUGCUUAUUCUCCUGAGGCUGGCAAGGCACUACCAGUUCUGGCAUUAAGUUUGAGAGGGCCGAAAGCACGACACACCUUACAGGAUAUUGUAGGGCCUUCUGAUCCACAGCUGGCCCGUGUGACUGACUGCAGCUCCAUCAGUGCCCUCUAUUGUAGGAGCCGAGCUGAGCCUCUUGUCUACCUGCCCCGCACAGACAGCCGUGUGAACAGGGAGCUGUGCCUUUGGUUUGGAGGAAGAGUAUAUUCUGACACAGCACUUCAUGUUGGUGUCCAGAAUCCUGCCUGCAAAUAUAACAGAUCAAGGCCUCAGAGUCCUUCAUCAUGCAGAACAGAAGAAUGGGAUGAUCUGCAGGGCAAGGCACCAUCCAGUGCUCCAACAACACUUGUCUCGACCACCAAAGGAGAUGUCAUUUUGGUGGUCUCACCUACUAUUCCUCCUCAUGCAUACGCUGAUGUGAUUUCAACUUGCACUCGGAGAGGGUUUAUUCUGCAGGGAAUCAGGCAGCUGCGGCUUUCACUUAAACAAGC
rnacentral:lncRNA from 1 species